GCAAAGAAUCCUUUCCACUAUCUUGUAGGGAUUUUCCAUAAUCAUUUAUUUUCCUUCUUCCUCCUCUUACCCACAAGAGAGGAACGUUCCCAUAAGGGGGUUACCAAACUUGGAAUCUUCCUUCACCCCACCCAACCCACCUCCAUUCUUUCACGGUCCUUUCUUCUAGCCACCUACCCCAGCAUAUAUCGUGAUUACUAGGCGUAUGGAUAGUAGAAUCCCACCGGGAAGUUACUUCCAGUACUCUCCUACGGGGGUUUAUGGUUCACUUCAGAGGUCUGCAUCUCUUACAGAUCGUGAAAGAUAUUUGGCAGACUUACUGGCUGAGAGGCAAAAAUUAGCACCAUUCAUGCAGAUUCUCCCAGUUUGCAGCAGACUUCUAGAUCAAGAUUGCAACCUGAGGCAGAAUUUUUUAUUGGAUAUCCACUGCAGGUGUUCAACUAUCUUCUGUCAGUUAUUCCUCCAUUGCUAUUUCUUAUUGAACUGUUUUUCAAUAAAUCGUAUAUUUGCAGAAAUCAUGCGAGUAUCAGGAUUGGUAUCUAAUAAGCUCACAGAAAUCGAAAAAAUGGGGCAUGAUAAUCCGUAUAGGUCAUUGGGUCAACAGCCUAAUGGAGGGCCGAUAAGUGUAAUGGCUUGGAAUGCCAUGCAAACUGAGGAAGAUAGGUUCCUUCAAAAGAUGGCUCCUUUUCAACCAUCUUCUCUAAACUGGAAUGCAGUACCUGGGACAAGAACCACUCCAGUUGUGAAGAAGGUUAUCCGACUGGAUGUUCCUGUGGAGAAAUACCCAAGUUAUAAUUUUGUUGGCCGAAUUUUGGGACCACGUGGAAACUCUUUGAAAAGAGUUGAAUCCAUGACAGAAUGUAGAAUAUAUAUUAGGGGUCAGGGCUCAGUGAAGGAUUCUCUCAAGCUGUGAGGCCAGAGGUUGUGUGAAUAUCGGUCAUGGCUUUUCAAAUUUCUCACAACUGUGUCCUCUGUCUCCUUAGGAAGAGACACUAAAAGACAAACCUGGAUAUGAGCACCUAAACGAACCACUACACAUUUUGGUGGAGGCCGAGUUUCCCGAGAAUAUCAUAGACGCCCGCUUGGAUAAUGCAGUAGCAGUACUUGAAAAACUAUUAAAACCCGUGGAUGAAUCAAUGGACAUUUAUAAGAAGCAACAGCUGAGAGAGUUGGCUAUGCUAAAUGGUACGCUAAGGGAAGAAAGGCCUAGCAUGAGCCCGAGUAUGAGCCCGAGCAUGUCUCCUUUUAACAGCAAUGGCAUGAAACGAGCCAAAACAGGAAUGUAACACAGCAUGAUACUAAUGGUGUCUCUUUGUUAUAUCGAAGUUGCUUGCUUGCAAUUAACGUUCUGAUGAUCCGCGUAGAAGUUGCUGAUCGAUACCAACUCAGCCAAAUUUGUUUGGGACAGAAUGGAAUGACUCCAUGCAUUGGUUCUGCGCAUUAUGGCGGGAACUGAGGCAGAAACUGCUUCAUUUCAAGUAGAUUGAAGAAAAUUUUGCUUUACUUUUGACAAUCUGAUAUCAUUCUUAUUUCAUAAAUUAUAUCGCUUUAUACAUGAGUUUCGAUAAUGUUAUUCUCGUGCUCCAUUACUACCAUCUUCAAGAGCUGAAAAAGCUGGUAACAUUUGAGAUUAUUUGAAAGUUUCUAUUAGGUUUUACCAUUUUUACACCCUUGUUGACA